UGUAGCUUUGGAGCCUUUCCUGGAACUCACUCUGCAGCCCAGGCUGGUCUCAAACUCACAGAGAUCCGCCUGCCUCUGCCUCCCGAGUGCUGGGAUUAAAGGCAUGCACCACUACUGCCCGACUUGGAAAGAAACAUUUUAAAAGAAGAAGAAUCUACUUUGGCUCACUGUUUGGGGGUCUUGGUCCAUGGUCGGCUGACACCAUUGUGUCUGGGUCAGUGAUGAGGCAUCAUGGCAGAAGGGCAUGAGAACAGAACUGCUCACCUCACAGCCGGGAGACAGCGGGAGUCCCCGGGCUACUGAGUCCCUCUUCUUUCCUGUUAUUCCAUCCAGGACCCCAACCUGUUGGAUAACGUCUCAGGCAUUCAGGACAGGCCUUUGCUUUGCAGUUAAUCAUUUCUGGAAACACUCUCAGAGACAUACCAGAUGUACACCGUGAGAAACUCCUAGGCACUUCUCAGUCCAAUCAAGUUGUCAGCGAGACCAACCAUCACCCUGGAGAUGGCUUUGAUUCUCUUCUGCUGGAUCCCACCUCUGGAUGAUGCUCUGGGGCCAGAUAUGCCUCCUUUUCUAGCACCUAUGAGAAAGCCAGCCAGAACCUCCUGGUUCCACCUCAACCAAACACCAACUUCCUCAUUCGGUUCAAAGCUCUGUCUUCCCUUUACCAGACCUGGCCAUCCCCUUUUCUCUACCCUAUUCUUUUGUUUUUGUGGUGCUAGCCCACAAACCCAGGACUCAGAAGUGUUAGGUCAGUGUUUUGUCACUGAGAGACAUUCCUAGCCUGCCCAUUCUUCUGUUCCUCCUCCGCCUCUUACUCCAGGGUGGGUUAGGAAAUCAAGAUGGGGGAAGGGCAGAGACUUUAUCUAACUGAGAUCCUUGAGAAGAGCUAUUGUUGGGUGGCACCAGCAACUCCUCAGACUCGGCUACUUUUUAAAAAACCAGCAGGCUUACCAAAGACCUUGUCCCUACAGCUCACUCCUCACAUCCCACAGUGGCUCCUGCUUAUGUUGCUAAGGCACAUGUCCCCUCCCCCACCCCAUAUGCCACCCAUUCCGCCUGACACUUAGUCAUGUGUCCUAGCAAGCAAAUCUCUUCCCAGGCCCUCAACAGAGAUGUGAAGAUAGCUCUUCCCCAUGUGUCUGCUCUGCACCCCUCUGGAGGAGAGACCCCAUCAUCCUGCGUGAAUCACUGUCUGCUCUGCACCCCUCUGGAGGAGAGACCCCCAUCGUCCUGCAUGAAUCACUGUGUCUGCUCUGCACCCCUCUGGAGGAGAGACCCCCAUAUCCUGCAUGAAUCACUGUCUGCUCUGCACCCCUCCGGAGGAGAGACCCCCAUCGUCCUGCAUGAAUCACUGUGUCUGCUCUGCACCCCUCUGGAGGAGAGACCCCAUCAUCCUGCGUGAGUCAUUGUCUGCUCUGCACCCCUCUGGAGGAGAGACCCCCAUUGUCCUGCAUGAAUCACUGUGUCUGCUCUGCACCCCUCUGGAGGAGAGACCCCCAUCGUCCUGCAUGAAUCACUGUGUGCUCUGCACUCCUUUGAAGGAGAGACCCCAUCAUCCUACAUGAAUCACUGUGUCUGCUCUGCACCCCUCUGGAGGAGAGACCCCAUAAUCCUGCUUGAAUCACAGGCUAAACCCACUGAACCCAGCCCUGAACUAGCUGUCAGGACAAGGGGGACCAGAUCCCCCUUUAAAACCUAAGUGUUCAGGUAACUCCUGUCAGAGCUUCUAGGUAUGUGUCUGUGUCCCCUCAUAUGGCCUUAGGGGACAGAAAGUACCCAGGGUGGCACAUACGUCUCUUGGUAUCUUUCCUCGUCACUUUUAGAUUGAAGUGCUGAAAGGAUCAGCAGCCGAGAGCUUAGUGCUGUGAAUGGAUUACUGCCCUUGGAAAAGAGGCUCCAGGGCUUGACACCCUGUUUUCUAUCCACCGUUUUCCUGUUAAUGCUACUGUUCUGAGCUGCUCACCUGGAGCUGGGGAGCUCUGGACUCUACUAGUUCCAGGAGGUGAGUCAGUCAGGAGGCGCUUGUCUGGUGCUCACAGGUCUGAGUCUUCUCCUAGACCAUCCAAAUCCCAGGCCUGCACAGGACAGACAUGCUUCUGCAGCUCAAAAGGGCAAUGAGGAGGUUCCGGGAAUCGAACUCAUGUCUACAGGCUGUGUGGAAAGAACCUUUACCCACUAAGCUUUUUCAACUGGAGGUGUAGAGAAGAGUUUGCAAUCAUCUUCAAUCUAUAUGACGUAGAAAUAGAUGAGACUGGGAUUAGAAUCCAGGCUGGCCUGAAGCCUUCCUUCACAGUCACUUUGAGGCUUAAUUAUGAACCUGCUCAACCCCUGGAAAGCGGCCAUUAUUGAUUCUGGCGUUUGAAAGGGGAGUUAAGUGGCCAUCUCAACACCACUUAGCCUGAUAAAAAGGCCAGCACGUACAGGAGGAACCUGCUCCACCAAGAAGGCCUCAUCCUCCCACUGGGGGCUGUUGCCUUUUCCAGGCUUGGAAGCCACUGAGCCAGAUGCCUGUAAAACUCAAGUACUGGCAGCCCUUGGUGGCUGAGUGUUCUACCAUAGGACGCGGGCCCAGAUCCCUCCACUAGAACCUCUAAUAUGUAGGUGCUCUGACAUGCGCUAUUUGUAAUCAUGUGCAAAAGUCUGUGACCUUUAAAAUGUUUAAAUCACAUUUGUUUACUCA